rnacentral:rRNA from 1 species
AUUGAACGCUGGCGGCAGGCCUAACACAUGCAAGUCGAGCGGAAGAAGGGUAAUUGCUCCCGGUUUCAGCUGGCGACGGGCGGGUGAUGCCGAGGAAUAUGCCUGGCAGCUGGGGCUAGGGUCCUGACGCAGGCGCUCAUACGCUAAAAGUGCAUAGGAAGAACGUGGGGGAGCAGCGGAUCUUCCGCCAUUACGUGAGCCUAGGUCGGAUUAGCUAGUUGGCGGGGUAAAGGCCUACCAAGGCGACGAUCCGUAGCUGGUCUGAGAGGAUGAUCAGCCACACUGGAACUGAGACACGGUCCAGACUCCUACGGGAGGCAGCAGUGGGGAAUAUUGGACAAUGGGCGAAAGCCUGAUCCAGCCAUGCCGCGUGGGUGAAGAAGGUCUUCGGAUUGUAAAGCCCUUUUAGUUGGGAAGAAAAGCAGUAAGUUAAUACCUUGCUGUUUUGACGGUACCAAAAGAAUAAGCAACGGCUAACUUCGUG